rnacentral:rRNA from 1 species
GACGGGCCCGCACAAGCAGCGGAGCGUGUGGUUAAUUCGAUGUUACACGAAGAACCUUACCAGGGUUUGACAUGCAAGUGGUAGGAAGCCGAAAGGUGACCGACCCUUCGGGGAGCUUGCACAGGUGCUGCAUGGCUGUCGUCAGCUCGUGUCGUGAGAUGUUCGGUUAAGUCCGCUAACGAGCGCAACCCUCGCUGUGUGUUAUAUGUGUCACACGGGACUGCCGGUCUUAAGCCGGAGGAAGGUGGGGAUGAUGUCAAGUCAGCAUGGCCUUUAUAUCCUGGGCUACACACACGCUACAAUGGCCAACACAAUAGGUUGCUAAGCCGCGAGGUGGCGCCAAUCCAUAAAGUUGGUCUCAGUUCAGAUUGUAGGCUGCAACCCGCCUGCAUGAAGAUGGAGUUGCUAGUAACCGCAGGUCAGCUAUACUGCGGUGAAUACGUUCUCGGGCCCUU